AUUAAAUAGCUGCAGUAUUUUAACUGUACUAAGGUAGCAUAAUAAUUAGUCUUUUAAUUGAGGUCUGGAAUGAAUGGUUUGACAAGAAAAUAACUUUAUUAAUUAAUCUUUUUUCAAUUUUAUUUUUUAGUUAAAAAGCUAAAAUUUUUAAAUGGGACGAAAGACCCUAUAGAUCUUAAAAUUUUUUAUAUUUAAAUUAAUUUUAUGGAUUAAUUUAGAUUUUGUUUGGGAAAAUUUUUUGUUGGGGUGAUGUAUAAAUUUUUAAAACUUUAAAAUUUUCUUACAUUUAUAGAUGUAUAAAUGAUCCAAAUUUUUUGAUUAUUAAAAUAAGAUACCUUAGGGAUAACAGCGUAAUAAAUUUGUAUAGUACACAUAAAUAAAUUUGUUUACGACCUCGAUGUUGAAUUAAUAUUAAUUUUUGGAGCAGAAGCUAGAAUUUUGGGUCUGUUCGACCUUUUAAAUAUUACA
rnacentral:rRNA from 1 species